rnacentral:rRNA from 1 species
GACGAACGCUGGCGGCGCGCUUAACACAUGCAAGUCGAGCGAAGCGGCGGACGGGUGAGUAACACGUGAGUAACCUGCCUUAGACCUUGGGAUAGUCUCGGGAAACCGGGAUUAAUACCAAAUGGUCUAAGAUGGACUCGGGUGCCAUUAGCUAGUUGGUAGGUAACGGCGCACCAAGGCGACGAUGGGUAGCCGGCCUGAGAGGGAGAACGACGACAUUGGAGCGGAGAAACGGUCCAAACUCUACGGGAGGGAGGAGAGGGGAAUAUUGCACAAUGGAGGGAACGAUGAUGCAGCGAGGCCGGGUAAACGAAGAAGGCGUUCGAGAAGUAAAGUACGUUUAUAUGGGAAGCGGUACCAUAAGAAAAAGCCCCGGCUAACUACGUGCCAGCAGCCGCGGUAAUAC